GACAGAGGGUGCAAACGUUGUUCGGAAUUACUGGGCGUAAAGCGCGUGUAGGCUGCUCGGAAAGUCGGAUGUGAAAGCCCUGGGCUCAACCUAGGAAGUGCAUUCGAAACUUCCGGGCUGGAGUUCUGGAGAGGAAGGCGGAAUUCUCGGUGUAGAGGUGAAAUUCGUAGAUAUCGAGAGGAACACCGGUGGCGAAGGCGGCCUUCUGGACAGUGACUGACGCUGAGACGCGAAAGCGUGGGGAGCAAACAGG
rnacentral:rRNA from 1 species